rfam:Triticum aestivum genome assembly, contig: Triticum_aestivum_CS42_TGACv1_scaffold_392578_5AS
UCCAGUGAUGGCACAUCUUUGAGAACUGAGUUUACUUAGUUAAUGAACAUCAUAAGCAUAAUCCCUGAGGAC